CAGUCGCCGCGGGAAUACAGAGGGUGCGAGCGUUAAUCGGAUUUACUGGACGUAAAGCGUGCGUAGGCGGCUAAUUGAGUCGGAUGUGAAAUCCCCGAGCUUAACUUGGGAAUUGCAUUCGAUACUGGUUAGCUAGAGUGUGGGAGAGGAUGGUAGAAUUCCAGGUGUAGCGGUGAAAUGCGUAGAGAUCUGGAGGAAUACCGAUGGCGAAGGCAGCCAUCUGGCCUAACACUGACGCUGAGGUACGAAAGCAUGGGGAGCAAACAGGAUUAGAUACCCCCGUAGUCCCUGUCUCUUAUAA
rnacentral:rRNA from 1 species